CCCCCACUCUGGUGCCUCCUUCCCAGUGGUUCCCCCCUCCCUGCACUCCGACAUCCUACAGCCCGGACCCUGUGACCCUCGUCUUCUGGCCCGACCCCACAACCUCGACCCGCAUCGCCUUCCUGCGGCCCUGUCCCUAUGCCCUCAUCUCUACGGCUGCAUCCUCGAGCCAGUGUCUUGUCCCCGAGCUGUCCUCUCAUGCCUCAGUCUUUGUGCACCAACUCGUGCCUCGAUCCUUACACGCCAGCCCACUUUCUACUAUGAGUAUUAGCACGUCACUAAUACCAUCACUAAAAGUUAAUUUUUAUUUAAAUUAUAUGAAUUAAAUAUAAUUAGGUAUUAAAAAAUUAAUUAAUUAAAUAGUUAGAUGUUUAAUUUAUUAACUAAUUAGAAGCAUGGGACUUGGAUCUCGGCAUGUAGAGUGCUCGGAUCGAGGAAAGGUGCCAAGCAGUAUCACAAACACGAGAACAGGGCAUGCCCUGCAUGCUCGGACCUCAGAUCCCAACUGGUGUCUAGGACAUCCAGCCCUCGCGUGCCCUGCGUGCUCAGGCUGAGGGGAGAUGCCGGUCAGCAUGGCGAACAUGGAGCCUGGGCGUGCCCUGUGUGCUCGGACCUCGAGUCCC
rnacentral:lncRNA from 1 species